AGCCACUAACAUCAUGCCCUGUGUUUUCCGUGGUUUUGUUCUACUACGUGUCAUAUAGUGACCUGUUAGGGCUUGUCGAGAAUAUCAUUCUGUUUAAUUCCGCCUCUAAAGGAAAAUGUAAAAAAUAAUGUGGAAUAAGGGAUGUAGAAUUGCUCGAAGUUUGAAUAAUUGAUGGUUCUUGCUAUUGGUUAGGAUCAAUGGAUGAAAUAAAGACCAUAGAAGCAGAUUAGAAUUGUAGUCUGCAGGAAUGGCAUUGUAGCUUAUAUUAAAAUAUAUUUAUGAUCGUUUUGUCACUUGAUUUUUGCUCUGCUUAAGGUUUUUAUGAUCGGCUUCUCAAAAUGAUUCGAUGACGUAUUAUAGUAUAUUGCUGUAGUACAAGAGCAAGGAUAAUACAUUUUUUAGCUCAUGUUUCGCUUUCUAAGUACUAUAUAUG